rnacentral:rRNA from 1 species
AACGAACGCUGGCGGCGUGGAUAAGACAUGCAAGUCGAACGGGACUUUUUUCUGGUAGCAAUACCGGAAAAAGUCUAGUGGCGAACGGGUGCGUAACACGUGGACAAUCUGCCUUAAAGUGGGGGAUAGCUCGGCGAAAGCCGAAUUAAUACCGCAUGUGAUGAGGGAAGACAUCUUUCUGAAAUCAAAGCCGCCCAGCACUUUCAGUUGAUUU